GCAAAUUACAUAAAAAUGUAAUAAACCUUCUCACACAUCUGAGGCCGUUCUUCAUCCUCCUCGUACAGUCUCUGUAACACAGUCGCCGCCACCACCGGAGAAAUUGCCACCAUCUGAGGUGGCUCUCAAAUUUACACCGUGAAAUCGUCUCGACGCCCCCAUCACGAAUCUGCCCUCGUCUUCCUUCGAAUCCCACUGUUGGUCGUCGAAUAAUCGAAAGAAGCAUCACCAUCUCGACCGUCCACGGCGACGAUGCCGCCAAACUAGUCCAAAAUCACACCACAAGCUCACCCCGACCUCCCCAUCACAAAUCUACCCUUGUUUUCCUUCAAACAACUUGGAAACUCCUCGAAUCUUGAAUUUAGUUUAACCCUAGAAGACCAAAAUUCCAGUUUGAAGUAGCCGUUGAGGUUUUGGAUUCUUUUUGAAGUUAUUCACGUGAUUAGCCUCAGUUCGAAUCAAAACACGUUAAAACUAAAGGUCCUCGCUGAUUUUUAGGUAUUGUCUUUUCUUUUUCUAUUAUCAUCUUCUCUCAAAAUUUUCUCUCUUUCUCAGUUUUUCCACUCCUUUUCUCGAAUUAAUUGUUUUUCUUUUGUACUGCGAGAUUCUGUUUCUUAAUUAGGGUUGUUUUCAGUGUUUUUGUUCUUUUCAUUGUCGUUAUUAUCUAUUUUCCUUGUUCUCCAGGAUUGUUAAAUAAAUCGUGUUCCUAGAUUUUCCUUUGACAUGUUAACUUUGUUUUAAUGGUAUCUUUAAUUCGUAAUAGGUUAGUUUAAUGCAUAACUUGGUGGUAGAUUAGUACUUGUUCAUGGCUGAUCCUAUUUUAAUUGUUCCCAUGAUUUGUUUAAUUUUUAUUUUUCUUAUUUGGUUUAAGGGUUAAUCAUGUUUACGCUCCAAUGUUUGUUCUAUUAAAGUUGUGAUUGUUCUUUGAAUUUCAGUGUUAAUCUUUGAAUAAUUGUUAAGGUUAGUUAGUCGAUUGGAUAUAGCUGGGCGAAUUCAACACUUUGAUUAGCUUUGAUUGACUUUGAUUAGGGUAAAAGAGGGUGAUGCCUAGUUUGAUGCAUGGUUAGUAGUUUCUAGGAAGUUCAGGGGCAGUUUAGGCAUGGAAAAAGGGUAGUUUUUUUAGGAAUGAUAAUUUCAAAAUCAGGAUAAGGGUAAUAGAGUCAUUGCAUAGGCAAAAGAACACUCUAUUACACUCUAGAUGGGGGUACAAGUAGAGUCUCAGUAUUUAAAGGACUUUACUUGAGUAAUAAGUCAGAAAAUAGAGGGUUUAAAAGAAAUAAAAAGAGGGACUGUUUUGUAAAGUUAAAAAUCUGAAGUUGCUCCUCUUUGUGCCUAUAAAAGGGCAUUUCUAUUCCUUGAAAUACAAGUUUGGAACCUCUAAAAAAACCCCAAAAACAUUCCUCAAGCUCCUAGAUCUGCAAAUUAACUUUUCAGAUCCAAAUUCCUUUAGAUUUUAGCUUUCAUCAAAAGAAAACAAAAAAAAAAUACUGUUCAUUAGGAUUUCAGUGUUAUUUCAAGCUUAAAACUUCAUAAAACCAAAAAAAACUGUUCCAUUAGGAUUUCAGUGUUAUUUCAAGCUUCUGGAGUUUUUGGAUUUCAUUUUUUUAGUUUAGAAUGAUUUCAAGUGAAGUUUAUACUACUUCUUAGCUGAAUGUUAGUUUUGAUAGCCGAUUUUCAUUUAUGAGGUUCAUUUUUGGAUAUUUGAGGAUUCAGAAAGAUUCUGGAUUCUAAUUAGAUCAGUCUUGGAUGGGUUCGAGUUGUUUUGAGUGACUUCGAGUUGGAAUUUGUUUGAUUGAGUCAAGUUUGGAUGUCAUUGUUGGUGUUUGUUCAUCUGUGUGCAUUUCUGGGGGUAUUUUGAUGCUGUUUGGAGUGAAUCUAUUAACUCUAUUCAAUUUAAACACUUCUGGAUUUCUGAUUUCACUUAUGGGCUGUUUGUGAUCAACUGUGAUUGCUGCUGAUCUCUCCUCUUAUUGUGAUUCAAUUCCGGUUACCUUUUGAUCUCUUAUGUACUUGAAGGAUCUAUGUAAUUUUGCUCUAGGAAUGCAUGAAAAAAUGUUGUUCGAAUCGCUAUUUGAAGUCGAAUUCUGAGUUCAGUUCAUCUCUGUUUAAUUUUAAUUUGUAAAAUGGUCCGAUUACUUGAAAUUUGGUGCUGGCUGUCUGACUGAACCGUGGAUUGUAAUUUGUAGUAAAAUAGCCUUAGAUUUAGUAUAGUUGACACUUAUUUAGCUCAGCAAUUUUCUGCUCAAAACUUAAAUUCAGAAACAGUUCAAGUUGCAUGAAGUUAGCGUUGAUAAUUACAAGUCAGUGUUUGAAAUUAACAAUGUGACGACCCUACCAAAUUGAAAGGUGCUUCCUUUCAUUUGGACCCGGACUUGAACUUGAGGCCCGGACUUUAACAAUAAUCAUUUAGGAUUUUCUUUUUCUUUUUAGAGAAAAAAUGAAAAAUAGAAAAUAUAAGCACUUUUGGCCCUUUAAAAAUAAAAUGAGACGAGUCUCGCGCAACAAAAAUGCAAAAUUGCGGGGCUCUCAAUGAAAGUUUAAAAUAUUUUUGAAAUCGGGAAGGGCUGUCACGGCCCUCCCAAAAGAUUACAACGUGUUAGACUCUAUUAGGCACGACAUUAAUAAAUUACAUUCCUAAAUACAGGUGGGCAUUUUAUGCGUCCCAAAAUCAAAUCCUAAAACGUUGAAUAGAGUGUGUCUAGGAUUCCCAAAGGGUCAUCACCAUAAUUCUCCCUUUAUUUUUUCUUCUAAGGCCUUGAAAACCCCUUAAUUGGUUUCCUCCAUUUUUGUGCGCAGUUCGGGCACGAAGCCAGAAAUUUUUUAUGUGGAAAUAUUUGAAUUUUGUGUUAAAAACUAUGAAUUUUGAUAAUAAUAUUGCUAUAGUUGACCUUGGUCAACAUUUUUGGUAAAUGGACCCGGACUCGUGAUGUGAUGGUCACGGAGGGUCCAUAAGGGAAUUUGGGACCCAGGCAUAUUCCCAGAAUCAAAAUCCGAGGUCCCAGGCCCGAGUACAGAGUUUUUCUAUGAAAUUGUGUUUGAAAAUGCUUAAGGAAAAAUGAAAAUAAAAAUUUGAUCAAAAUGAUGGUAUCGGACUCGAAUUUUGGUUUCGACGCACGGUACAAGUCUUAAAUGGGCGUUAAGUGCUAUCUGUAAAGUUUGGUUGAAAACGGACAUUGUUUGACGUGUUUCAGACUAAAAAUGGUAAAUUUGAAAGUUUUGAACUUUGAAAUAAAAAUCAUGAGUUUUGGAGGUUGAUUCUUUGAUUUUGAUGUUAUUUUGGCGAUUUGAUCGCUCGAUCAAGUUCAGAGGAUGAUAUUGAGUUAGUGUGUGGUUGCUUGGGAGCCCCGAUGGCUCGUGAGUGAUUUCGGGGGUGGUUUGGGAUGUUUUGCUCUUAGAGAAAUUACAGAAAAUUCACUAUUGUUAAUGCCCAGGUUCGUUCUUCUUCGCGAUCGGGACUCCUCUCCGCGUUCGCAUAGCUUUGGGGUUUUUCCUUCUUUGCGAUCGCGUACCUUAUACCGCGUUGGAAUACUUGCAGUCCCUCCUCAAUCGCGAACGCAUCCCCGUCCACGCGUUCGCAUAAGCCAAGUUCCAGGACCCUGAAUUUCCUUCUUUGCGAUCGCGUGAUCCUAAUUGCGAUCGCGAUGGCCCCAGUUUUCCCUUCGACAUGAAUGCAUCCCCUAUGUCGUGAUCGCGUAGACUAAUUUGCUUCAGUGAAUUAAAUUAAAAACAGAACAGUUCCCUUCGCGAAUUCCACACUUUUCUCACACGAACUCUCCUCCUACAUACUGGAUUGACGAACUUCAAGCUCCUAUUUCACCAUAACUCUUUGGGUCAGUGAUUCCAACUUCUUUCUUCCAUUAUUUCUUCAUCUAUUUUUCAAUUCUAUAGCCCUAAAUCAUAGAAUCAUAGUAGAAUAUAGGGAUUUUUGGGCAUAGCUAAGGUUUUUAGAAAAUUGGGCGAUUCAACCUCAAUUUGGGGUGGAAUCUUAAAACAAAUUAUAUAUUUGGACUCAUGGGGUUAUGGGUAAUUGGAAUUUGGUCCGAGCCUCGAGUUUGGAUCAUGUGGGCCCGGUGUCGGGUUUUAGUAUUUUCGGAAGAAAAAUUAGAAAUGAAUUUCUAAGCUAGGAAAUUGUAUCGUUGUGCUAUUAUUGAUAAUAUUGAAUCGAUUUAUGUUAGAUAUCGUUAGUUCGGGAUCAAAUUCUAGAGGAAAGGCGAUUGUUGAGCUUUGAGUUGCUAUUUUCGGAUUCGAGGUAAGAGUUUGAUCUAACUUUAGCUUGAGGGAAUAUGACUAGGAUAAUAUUUGUUAUGUGCUACAUGGAGUCGGUGUAUAGGUAUGGUGACGGUUACCUAUGCGUCCGAGUCUAAUAUGACCGUGAGUCUUAUUUGCUAUUAGUAUUUCGAAGAAGUGGAAAAUUGUGAUAAUUAUUUGUUAAAUGAACUAUAAAGUGAUAGAAGCAAAUGAACUAAAGAAUAAAAUUUUGGUACUUUUAUGCCUUGCGGGCUUGCGGGAACGUAUUGUUGAGCAAUUUUCCCUUGUCGGGACUUAUUGUUGAGCUGUUUUCCCUAGCCGGGACUCAUUGUUGAGCUGUAUUCCCCUUGCUGGGGUUAUUACUAUUGCAGUUUCGUUCAUACCUUCUAUCUAUUAUUUGUGAAUGUUGUGUGGGUGAGGAUGAGCGAUAAAGCACGAUGGGUAAUGUCGUGUAACCGAUUUAUGCUAUUGAUUGGGUGAGGAAGAGUGAUAAAGCACGAUGGGUGAUGCCGUGUAAUCAUUGAUUAAAGCGCGAUAGGUAAUGCCGCGCAACUAUUGAUCUACUCCAUACUAUGGACUGGGUGAGAAAGAGUGAUAAAGCACGAUGGGUGAUGACGUAUAACCGCUUUAUGUUAUUGAUUUGGUAAGGAAGAGUGAUAAAGUACGAUGGGUGAUGUCGUACACUAUAAUUGAUUAUCUUGGUGAUGACGAGGGUAAAAGCACGAUGGGUGGUGCCGUGCAACAUUUGAUUUGCUGGUUUCCUCUUAUUGAUUUUUAUUAUACCGUUUCCAUUUCUUUGUUGUUGUUGAUUAGAUAAUUGAACUGUUAUACCCCACAACAUGCACUCCUCCCUUUUAUUUGUUUAAAUUCAUGUAUCCCCUUCUAUUUUCCAUAUAUGUUGAAAUGCAUAGGUUUAUAUGAUAGUCCUGUCUAGCCUCGUCACUACUUCGCCGGGGUUAGGUUAGACACUUACCAGCACACGAGGUCGGUUGUGCUGAUACUACGCUUUUGUGCCUUUUUUUGUACACAGGUCAGGACACAGCCUACGGACCGCAGUAGUAGCUAGUGGGCGAUCCUUCGGUCCAGAGAUUCUGAGGUAGUUCACUGGCGUUCUAGGGCCCUGAGUCUCUUCUAUGUUUUCUAGAUUGUUUUUAUUGUGUUAAAACAUACAUAUGAUGUAUUUCUUUCAGACUAUUGCUUUAGUACUCUUGGUAGUCCAUGAGUAAUGACACCAGAUACUGGGUAGAGACAUAUUGUUAGUUUUCCGCAUUUUUUUUGCAAUAGUUGUUAAAAGACUUCCGCAUGCUUUAAUUAAUUAUUUUAGUAAUUAACUUGUUCUACAUUUAAGUUUUGUGAAAAUGAUUAUAAAGGUUGGCUUGCCUAGCUUCGACAGUAGGCGCCAUCACAAUUCCCGAUGGUGAAAAAAAUCCGGAUCGUG
rnacentral:lncRNA from 1 species